AUGCAUGUCUAAGUACACGCCAGAUUAAAUGGUGAAACUGCGAAUGGCUCAUUAAAUCAGUUAUGGUUCCUUAGAUCGUACAAUCCUACUUGGAUAACUGUGGCAAUUCUAGAGCUAAUACAUGCGUCAAAGCUCCGACCUUCGGGGAAGAGCGCUUUUGUUAGUACAAAACCAAUCCGGCCUCGGUCGGCGGUUUGUGUUGACUCUGAACAACUUUGCUGAUCGCACGGCCUAGCGCCGGCGACGUAUCUUUUGAAUGUCUGCCCUAUCAACUGACGAUGGUACGUGCUAUGCCUACCAUGGUUGUAACGGGUAACGGGGAAUCAGGGUUCGAUUCCGGAGAGGGAGCAUGAGAAACGGCUACCACA
rnacentral:rRNA from 4 species